GGCGCGUCCCGGGCCCUUUGCGUGUAGUGGGUGGAUCUACGAUUGUAUUCCUGUUUCAAGCCCCGUUUUCUUGCAGCUCUUCGGCACUGCAAACUUAACCGCUAAUGGCGCUGUGGGUGGAGAAACGUUUGUUAGGCAACAACAGAAUUCUGCGAAACUUGGUUGGUUGGAGGAGCACACCAAAAAUAAAGUACCGGAGCCAGCACGGCUUCAAAAAAAUUAGGAUCAGUACCGCUAGUAGCGAACGCAUAAGAAGGGCUUCCUGUAUGCCUGCGUAUCUUGUGCUUGUUACAUCAUGGUUGCAGGAUGGCUGCUACAGCUCUGGACAUCACAUCAAAAUAUGGCAGAAGCUAAAGCAGGAAGACAGAGAAGGAGGCAAAACAGCUUUAUUCACUUGUGGCUCUCAUAUGAAGAGUAAAGAUAUUUCUCGAAACCUUCUAGUGAAAUCCUUAUAUCUUAUUGGCCAGAACUGGCUUACAUAAAUUAUGAUUUGUUGUCUGGAGCUGGAUGCAUUGCUACCUGAACAAAACUGGAGUUCUGUUAGCAAGGAGGAAGAGUUUGUGGCAGUAAGGAUGUGAACAGGAUGUGCUGCUGUAUCAUUUCUGCAAUGCUGAUGUCACUGCUGGCCAAGCUGCACUGCAGACACUCUCUGGAAAUAGCGGUUGUUCAUUGAAAUCUGUUUGCUGCCACUAAGAGGUACCUACCCAGCACGCCAGACAGGGCCAGUCUCUCCGGUUGGGGGCACUGCGUGGGCAACAGCGACCGCGCCUCCGAGCGGCGCACCGUGAGGGCGCGCGUCUGCGCUGGGGCCUCGCGCGCGUUCCACGAUGAAGACUGCGCAUUUGAGUGUCCCUGGCAACGCCACGCUUCCGCCUUCUGGAAGCCUGCACUCCAGCUUCGAGUGGAACGAUGCCUCUGGAGGUGGUGGUGGAGCUGCAGAUCCGGGCGGUAAGAGAUCGAUGAACUCCCCCUCCUUAACCUCAAGUCGGACUCUAAAUAGUCUCAGGUGGUUUUCAACAACCCUCCCCUACAUCCCCCACUUACCACAAACACAUCAUUAUCUUCUGGGACAGAUCGUACCUUUGUCUUUAAGAUUCUCCAUAUUGGUUUUCCCUGACUUCCUAACCUUUAAUUCAGCUCCACCUGUUCCCACUUUUUUUUUUUCUGUUCUAAAGUUAACAUGUUUCUUAUCUUUAUCAUGAAUUUUUUAUUUCUUUUCAAACAACCCUGCAUUAAGUCCAGGUAGAAUUUAUUUUCUUCUCCUGGAUAAAGAUUUGUGAAGGGAUUUUAAACUUCUUUAAAUAACCAGGGAAUAAUUUUAAAAAGCUCCAUCACUUCCUGAUUAUUUGCCAACUCUAUGAACCAAUCAGAUAUUUUCUAUGCUAUUUCCCCUUAGUGAUGGCUCUGGCUUGCUGAUUCCAAAAGGGAAAUCAAUCAAUCAAUAUUUUGUAAUUACCAAAUCUUUCCUAAGUGAAGUGUUGUGGCAGAGUGACUCCAUGGUUUCUACUUGGGGGUCUGUCACUCCCUCUUAUUUCAGUUUCCAUUUUCCAAUCCUUCUAUGUAGUUAGUAACAGAAUAUCAUGCCGCUUUUCCUCUAGGGGCUUUUCUACUGGCUAUGAUUACAAGCACAAUGCUAACAGGAAAUUGUCAUGGAAUCUGGUUGUCCUCCAUACAAUUGGCAAAUGGUGUAGUUUCAUCAUACAUGUGGGUGUGAAAGGUGAUCAACAUUUCCUGGAUUUGUCCCACUUUGCUGACAGCAAAUAGGGCUAGACCAUAUUAGUAGUGCUAUACCAGUUUUAAGCUCUAAAAAUUGUGCAGGAAGAAGGAACUCUUGAGAAGCUAAGUGAUAAAUCUGCCUCCCUCCUCAAGGCAAAAAUUAAGCAAGUUUUCAUCUCACUUCAUUCACCAUUAUUGGUUAAUUUUAUUUUGAUUUUUAAAAGGCAUUAUUCAGUGUACAAUUAACAAAGAAAUCAGUUUUCUACUCUACUGUACUUAGGAUGCUUCAAAAACAUCAGGUGAAAUGAUCUAUGCUUUAAGAGCCAGAAAACUCAGGCCCCAGCAACUAAAACAGAGAAUUCCAAAAUUGUAAUUACAAAUCAGAUGGUAAGCCUAAUUUCAUGCCCCUAAUAUUGAGAUUUGUGGACACUGCAAGAGGAAAUAUCAUUUGCUUCCAAAUAUCUGGCUUGAAUAUUGCUGCAGUUAAAACAAAGGAUCUCGCUAAGGUUAAACAACAAACCCAAACCACUUAGAGCUUCACAGUUUAGCUGCUUUAGCAAGUGAAGAGGUAGUCGGUAUUCAGGAUGUUGUGGGAAUGCAAAUGAUUUGAUUUUGAGGCAUGGCUGUUCCUUUUUCAGUAUGCCCCUCACUCUGAACAAGCUCAUGCUUUCACUCAAUCUAAAACCUACUUAUCACAGCCAUUCUCCAGGUUCCGAACCUCAGUAUGGCAGAUCAAAGUCCAUAAUAAUUUCUAUUUAUAAAUGCCAAAAUAGUCAUUAAGAUUAUCUGAGGAUAUCACUUCCAUAGGUAAUUUAAAGGACUUCUUUUCAGGUAGAGCAGCACUUAAAGCACAUACCUUCUCCAGUCUUUCUGGGUCAAAGAAUAAUGAGCAGAGUCCACCCUGCGUUUGGUGGUCUUUGGUCUUAUGAUUUGGGGAGGCACCAUGGAUGAACAGCUUUAAAUGUAAAGGGCAAUGUAAACAGAAAUUUUGGAGUUUUAUCUUGUGCCUGGUAUAGCAGCAGACUCCCAUGAUGAAUUUCAAGUUAAAUACUGUUACCUAAAAUGUGCUGUACCUCAGAAAACGGAAUUCCAUGUGAAAAACUGUAGCAUACAGGUAUAUACGAGAAAGCUUAUGUUCUUGCAUUGAGAAGACGUUCCUUUUCCCCACUUUAUUACCCUGGUAGAGGAGCAUUAUUCUUUAUUCAGUGGAGAUGACUGGCAGCAGGGCCCCAUCUCCUGUCAUACUGGUCACUGGCAUAAUAUGUGGUCAGCCUAUUCCCAAACUUUCAGUUCCUCUAACUUUCCCCAGCAACUUAGUUUCUCUGCCCUCUCUCAUGCCAUGUUAGGUCGUAAACAGAAAUAAGCAUGGGGCCAUGUCCCAUUCUUCCUUUUCUAUGAGCAUCUUAGAUAUGCCUACCUUUUAAGUGAUUCCUCUUUAAGCAAGUUCUUGGCUUUUUCUCUGAAUGCUAAAAGACAGUUAGGGAGUAGUGGGAAAUACAUAAAGAUCUUUUGAGGGGUGGAGGGAGAGGAGAGAAAGACAAGUAUUAUAAUCUCUUUUCCCACUACCCGAUCCACAAAUAUGGAUAGAGAUAAUAAAUUAUAGAGAUAAUAAAGUAAAAAAGCUUACCAAGAAAAUCAGGAUUAAGAAGAAAUCUCCCAACUGUGGCAACAGAUCUUCAGGGAAUAAACUAGAAAAACCUGUCUUGGACUUUAAAAAUACUGUUUAAAAUCUACCUCAGGAAAAGGACUAGGAUUAGUACAUGACCUGUCUGCAUGUAUAUUUACAGAAUGAACAUCAUGUUUCUUUCUCGAAGUUCAGUUUACAAGUGGUAUGUUGAUUUAGGGAUUACCACAAAACACAAAUCUUACUGAUACCAACUUUUAACAGCAACAGUAUAACCACCUCAGCUUGUUUUCUUUGCAGUUGUCCUGGAGACAUAAACAGUUGUUGAAUAAAUAUACAAUAGAGGAUUUUUUGGGUUUUUUUGCUUUCCCUAAUAUGGCUGUGUUCAGUAAUGGCCAGCGUGUGCUCCAGCCUAGCAGCACAUCAAGAUCAUGGGACACCUGAAAUCCCAAAGGAAGCCUGAAAUGCCUAAGAGGGACAAGCGGGAUGGCUGCUGGUUUAGGUUGGCAUCAUCGAAUGUGGAAACCUUCAGACUUCCUGGUGCCAUAAUCAAUGAGAUGGUGUCAUCGUUGACUCCACAGUAAAAAGAGGACCGGAGCAUUAUGGGGUGAGAGCCAGCAAUAGUCCACGAUGCUGUACUGCAUGUAGCCCAGAAAAAAGCCAAAAGCUACGUCGGUGACAUUGUGCCGCCCCAGCAUGACCCUGGAUAGGCCCAAGACGAAGGCCCACAGAACCACCAGCACCCUCAGUGGAAUGGCCAGCACCAGGUGGUUCAGGAUGAACCUCGACAUCAGGGCGGCCCUUGUGGCAUGGCCCGAGGGGAAGGAGUACUUGUCCACCGAGAGAGUGACAAACAUGUCCAUCUGGUUGUGGGCCGGGCGGCGCCUGCGGACCAGCCCUUUGAUCAAGGCCACCAGCAGCAGGUCCAACAGCAGGGCGAAGAGCAGGUUCAUCAGCACCUCGCGCCCGGCCCAGCUGUCGCUCCUGCACAGGCAGUAGAGGGUGCCCAGCAGCCAGGGGAUGCCGUGUCCCGAGAUCUCCAGCAGCUUCAUAAGGGGUCGCACGCUGCCCCACGACGAGCUCUCUCCCGCGCACACCCCCAGCUUCUUGGACAGCCACAGGUCGAUGGCCAGCAGGGAGCGCAGGGCGAUGCCCAGGAAGGACGGGUUCAAGUCCAUGCGGUCCUCCUCGGGCAGCGGAGGCGCGGGCGACUGCGAGGGGCCUGCCGCGGCCAGGGGGAAGGAGCCGCGGCGGUGAACUGGGCUCUCCGAUGCACGGAGCCGGGCGCAGGUGGGGUCCACGCCCGUAGCGCGGCUGGUGAGCAGGGACUGGAACUCAAACCUGCUGCCGCCGCCACCGCCGCCAUGGGCUGGGCUGCCGGGGCUGCUGCUGCUGCUCGAAGCGGAGACGCCCAGCGGCCGUCCCUCGAUGCUCCUCCGGGGACUUGGCAUCGCGGCUGGCGGCCCGGAUCCCGGGACCUGGCCGGACCAAACAGAGGCUUCCCGGCCCUGCAGCCUCUUCCGCUUCCGCACUACCAUCCCGGAGGGGCGGGGAGAGGAGCCGGCGAGAGCGCGAUUGUGACACCUGGUGGAGACGUGGGGGAGGGAAUUGGAAUUUCCAAUGUGAGGAGAGCAGAGGGGAGGAUGUUGGCAUUGGGAGGUACAGAUUUCUUGCCCAGGAGUGUUCCUGCCUGGCAAACAAGAUGCGUACCUCGGGGUCUACCUCAUGAAUCAGUACCUGGAGACAAACAGCUUUCCCUCUGCGUUCCCCAUUAUGAUUCAGGAGAGCAUGAGAUUUGAAAAGGUAUUUGAAAGUGCAGUAGAUCCUGGAGCUGUAGCAGACCUUUUGGAAAACCGAGACCCUAGCAAGGCAGAGACAGAAGCGGCUGGACAUCGAGAGGAGUACAUUGGCACUGGCAGAACGACACGGAGUUUGGCCGGGGCAGUUGGAGCAGAGCCGAGGCUGCCGAGCGGCCCAACUCCAGGGGAAAACCAUCUCCCUUCUGGCUCCCCCAUCUGCUGAAAGCUACCCUCACUCAAUAAAACCUCACACUCA